rnacentral:rRNA from 1 species
GACGAACGCUGGCGGCGUGCUUAACACAUGCAAGUCGAACGAUGAAGCCGGAGCUUGCUCUGGUGAAUUAGUGGCGAACGGGUGAGUAACACGUGAGUAACCUGCCCUUGACUCUGGGAUAACUGCGGGAAACUGUAGCUAAUACCGGAUACGACCAUCGGAGGCAUCUCCUGGGGGUGGAAAGAAUUUCGGUCAAGGAUGGACUCGCGGCCUAUCAGCUAGUUGGGGAGGGAAAGGCUCACCAAGGCGACGACGGGUAGCCGGCCUGAGAGGGUGACCGGCCACACUGGGACUGAGACACGGCCCAGACUCCUACGGGAGGCAGCAGUGGGGAAUAUUGCACAAUGGGCGCAAGCCUGAUGCAGCAACGCCGCGUGAGGGAUGACGGCCUUCGGGUUGUAAACCUCUUUUAGCAGGGAAGAAGCGAAAGUGACGGUACCUGCAGAAAAAGCACCGGCUAACUACGUGCCAGCCGCCGCGGUAA